UCCCGGGUGUGGUGUUUCCUGUAGUAGGCCAGCGAGAAAGCUCGGUGAGUAGUUUCUUGGUUCAGAACUUCAGAGCUCGGUGAGUAGUUUUUACAUGCUUCAGUUGUUCAGACUUGAAGCAGCUUACCAGGUUGCCAACUGCCAUUGCUUCCAAAAGUAUGUGCAUAGUAUCCCUAUGAGUAAAUGGGGGGAGUGAUCCCACUUUUGAAGUUCCUAUAGAUGCAAGUAGAUCUUCUGAAGGUGUAAGUGAAUUUCCAUGUGCUUUGGUCAACUAAAUGCUACCAGAGGGCGUGCUUCUUGUUGGAAACAAAUAUGCACAUGAAUUCAGCCUAGCUAAAAAUCGAUCUGGAACUUCUACUGAUUACUGAGUCUUAAUUUUGCGACUCCUACAUUUGCUCGAAAAAAAUUGCCACUCAUACUUGUUUAUUUAACAUCAAAUGUUUGUAUUCAGAUAUGUUAUUUGAAAAAUAAUACUAGACAAGUUCAUUUGAGCUAUCCCUCGUAUCUCGUGUUUAAGUGCUACAAAAUUAUAGUUCAUUGCAUAAUCAGAUAAUGUAAAAUGUAAAUGGGGGUAGGGGUGGGGGGUGGGGGUAGUUAUGUACCAGCCAGCUUUGACAAUGGCAAUAAAAAUCUGACAAUAUCAACAGUUACAACACCCACCGAGGAGAAAGCAAGAUGAACUGCUAGAUGCACAUCUUAGUCAGGAACCGUGCUAAGGUAUGAUCAUAGUUAACAUAGAAAUCUUGAAGGAUCUUAGCUGCUGCCCUCUACAACAACAACAACAACAACUUAGCCUUUUGUCCCAAGCAAGUUAGGGUAGGCUAGAGAUGAAACCCACAGAAAACAAGAAUAAGAAACACAAAAAGGGCAUAAGCCAAAGGAAGAGUUAGGGGUUAAACAAAAAGUAACAAAGGUCACGGUUCAGGUACGUUAAUUGCUAAUCUCCAAGCGCUCCUAUCCAUAGCUAAUUCCUUAGCGAUAUUCCACUCCCUAAGGUCUCUCUUAACCGUCUCGUCCCAAGUUAGUUUAGGUCUACCUCUACCUCUCUUUACAUUAUCGCCCCGCUUUAAAACUCCACUACGCACCGGCGCCUCGGGAGGCCUCCGUUGUACAUGUCCAAACCAUCUCAACCGAUGUUGAAUCACCUUCUCCUCGAUAGGUGCCACCCCUACCCUAUCUCGAAUCUCUUCGUUCCGGACUCUAUCCCUUCUUGUAUGCCCGCAGAACCAACACAGCAUACGCAUCUCUGCUACACUCAGUUGCUGGACAUGUUGCCUUUUUGUAGGCCAACAUUCAGCACCGUAUAGCAUCGCCGGGCGAAUCGCCGUCCUAUAGAACUUACCUUGGCACCUUCUUGUCACAGAGGAUGCCCGACGUCUGCCGCCACUUCAACCAACCGGCUGAAAUUCUAUAUCUAACAUCUUCAUCAAUGUCUCCAUCUUUCUGAAGCAUUGAUCCUAGAUACCGGAAAAUAUCCUUCUUGGCCACCACUUGACCUUCGAGGCUAACGUCCCCAUCCUCAUGCCUAGUCGGGCUAAAGUCGCACAUCAUAUACUCGGUCUUGGUCCUACUCAGUUUGAACCCCCUCGACUCUAGCGUGUGUCUCCACAGCUCUAACUUCAUAUUAACCCCUGCCCUACUCUCGUCAACUAGCACCACAUCAUCAGCAAAGAGCAUACACCAAGGGAUAUCACCCUGUAUGUCCCUUGUGACCUCAUCCAUCACCAAAGCAAAUAGACAAGGGCUCAAUGCUGACCCCUGAUGUAGCCCUAUUUUAAUAGGAAAGUCACUGGUAUCGCCAUCACAUGUUCGAACACAAGUCAUCGCAUCCUUGUACAUAUCCUUGAUGAGGGUAAUAUACUUAGUUGGGACUUUGUGUUUUUCCAAGGCCCACCACAUGACGUCUCUCGGUACUUUGUCAUACGCCUUCUCUAGGUCAAUAAAGACCAUGUGUAAGUCUUUCUUCUCCUCUCUAUAUCUCUCCAUCAACUGUCGUAAUAAGAAAAUCGCCUCCAUGGUCGACCUCCCAGGCAUGAACCUAAACUGGUUUUGGGUCACUCUUGUCAAUCUUCUUAGGCGAUGCUCGAUAACCCUCUCCCAAAGCUUCAUCGUAUGGCUCAUCAGCUUAAUCCCCCAGUAGUUAGUACAACUUUGAACAUCUCCCUUGUUCUUGAAAAUCGGUACUAAUAUACUUCUCCUCCAUUUCUCCGGCAUCUUGUUUGACCGGAAAAUUAGGUUAAAAAGCUUAGUUAACCAUACUACCGCCCUCUCGCCCAGGCAUCUCCACACCUCAAUGGGGAUGCCAUCGGGGCCCAUCACUUUACCUCCCUUCAUCCUCUUCAAAGCCUCCCCGAUCUCUGCCUCCUGAAUCCUCCUCACAAAGCGUCUGUUGGUAUCAUCAAAUGAGUCCUCCAACUCGGAGGUAGGACCCUCAUUUUCUCCAUUAAACAACUUGUCGAAAUAUUCUCGCCAUCUGUUCUUGAUCUCCUCAUCCUUCACUAGAAGUCGAUCUGUCCCAUUCUUGAUGCAUUUGAUUUGGUUUAUGUCCCUUGUCUUCCUCUCGCGGGUCCUAGCUAUCCUAUAAAUGUCCUUCUCUCCUUCCUUCGUACCUAGCCGUUGAUAAAGGUCAUUAAAAGCCUGACCUUUCGCUACACUCACAGCUCGCUUUGCAGACCUCUUCGCUAAUCUAUAGCCCUCGAUGUUGGUUGCGCUCUUGUCGAGGUGAAGGCGUUUGAAACACUCCUUCUCCUUAAUAGCCCUCUCUGUGCAAAUAAUAUAUAAAUCUUUCGAUAAGAUGUAAUCACCACUGGAUAAGUUUGACAGUUAGUUUAUGUAGAAAUAUAGUAAUAUGGUAGUAACAAGCAUAAAAUAUUAUAUUCUGAAAGUAUAGUGUAUAAUAGUAUUAGUAUAUUUACAUUAUUUGUAGAAGCAAUUUUGUACUUGUUUGAUUUUUUUUACUCUUUUGCAGUCCCUGUUAUGCAACUUUGACCUCUCAUUUUAAUAACUUCACAUAAAUACAUGCGAAUAUUUUUUAUUUUUAUGAAAACAUUUUGAAAGAAAAAUCAGUUAAUAUAAUUUCAUAAAGCUAAUUGAUAGUUUAGAUACAUUAUUAGUGGUCCAACUAGUUUGCCGGCUUGGACUCUGCGACAAUAAACAAAAGAAUAAAGGAGUGAGUAUGUAUUGGCUGUCAAAAAUCAAAAUUAAGGAAACUGUUAUAUUUUGGGAUGGAGGUAAAAUAAUGUAUAGGCUCGUUCCGAAUUUCCAGUGUUGAUAUGACUAAGAGGUAAAAUUAAGGACUGUUGUAUAAGGAAGAUGGUCAAAUCCAAUCAAUACUCAAUUUUGGAAGGUAAUCUUCAGCUUAUGCUUGAAGUGUAGACCUCAUUACCAAUUGUCUAACAUGCUUAUUUUAGACACUUAGUCAUAAAACAAUACCAAGUUGUUUGAGAAACCAACGGGGCAAAAAACAAAAAGUUGGUUGACACAUUAGUAAUAUAUCAAUUUUAGUUGAAAUUUAAACUGGUCAAUAGAGGAAAACGAAAUAGCUGACAUCCCUGCAGAACGAGCUAUGAAGUUUCCAAAUGAUGAAGAACAAGUUACUUGCUCUGUUGUCAUGGAUGAGGGGCACUGCGCACUGUAAGCAAACUGGCUAACUGGCCAUCAUGAACCAAGUUUUUGUAUAAGCACUAGCACCAAAUGAAAUUUUAGGGGUGAUGUACCUUUAAAAAAUGAAGUGUCAAUCUGUGAAAUAAAUAAAUAAUCUUGGCAGGAUAAGGCUGGACAUCGGUAUUGCUGUUAAUUCACUGAGCCAGAUCCAUAGCAGUUGUGACUUAUAGAUUUAUGCACAUGGACCACGCUAACUAAUUGCAAAUUUCCAAUGAGAUUACAUUUCAUUUGCUCAAUGGUUUCUUGCAACCUGGGAUAUUCUAUUGAAGUUUAUUUUACCUGGAUGCUCCUUUUACCAGUCCGGUAUUUACAGCUGUUUGAGUAACCUUUCUGCUACAAGAUACUUCUUCACUAAUUUUUAAAAAUUAUGGGUACAUGCUGUAUAUCCUUGUUUUUCAGAUGUGAUAUAAGUACUCAUUUUCGAAGAUAUAUGUUUGCUAUUGCUUUCAAAUUCAAAUGAUUUCUUGUCAGGACUCAGGAAUGCAUGAUCAGGUGUGAUGUGUAAUACUGCAACAAAAUGAUAGAGCAAAUCUAUCUCUUUUGUCAAAUGAUUAAGGGUUCAAACUUUUGCUAUCUAUUUCUAAACAUUCAUGUAUAACCUGUGGGCCAUGUGCUAGUUUUACAUUGCCAUCCACCAAAGUGAUAGCACAAGAAAUCUUGCUCCAGUAUUUCAAAAUGAGGGCCUAUCAUGCCACACCUUGGCCUGUGGUUGCUAGCCACAACCAGAACCUUCAAGUCUUCCUUUUCUGUACCAUAUCUGAAUGAAUUAGUUUUUACUCGUGUUACCUGGGAUGUGGAUUGAGUGAAAGUGCUAAGAUCGAGAAAAUAAUCUAACAGAAUGCUUGCACUUCCUUUAAGCGCUUUGGAACUGUGAGAGGUUAGGUUAUGUGGUUAACAAAGGACAAAAGAGAGAAAAUAGAACCAAAUGUGCAUGCAUGCCGUUAAUUUGCAACAAGAAAUCUAUGAAACACCAACUCUAUACUAAAAUGGGGCUAUGCUCUUUUGAGUCUUUGUGCUUAUCUUUUUCAUUUCCUACAAGGCUUUGCACUAUUAUCGAGAUUUUGUUUGCUUAGUAAAAGAAAGGGGGAUAGGGGAUGAACUUCAGUGUUGAUUACUAUGAAAAACUGAAUCAACAUUUACUAGUUACAAUUUCAUGUGAUGUUGGUGCUGUAAAAAUGGCAGAUUUGCUCUGUCCAGAGCAAGAGAAUGAGAACUGAUGUAUGCUAGGGAAAUGUCUGAAAGCAAACCUAUGCUCCUUCAAAAGUCUCAGUGACAAUGUCUCCUGUGUAUUCUGAUGUUCUUUAUCUACUGCAAACGUGGUGCAACUAAUUUAUGUCAUUUCCUUUGUUGAAAAAGUGUUAUGUAUUUCCCUUCAUAACGAAAUCAUAUCUCUUGCAACAAAAUGCAGGCCUGGUGGACCAAUUUUGUCAUUAUGGAUGCAAGAUCCUAUACAACUCUAGCUAGGACUUGACCUGUCUGGCAUGGGUGCUUUGGCAGAGAAGGAUUUCAGAGGUCAAACAGCUGGCUGCUCAUUACAGACAUUGUAAAUUCUGUUCAAAUAAUGGUUUCAUACCUAUUUGUCUUUUCUUGCGGAGACUCCCGAAAAAACUAUGACAGUUAUAUCCUAUGU
rnacentral:lncRNA from 1 species